GAUGAACGCUGACAGCAUGCUUAACACAUGCCAGUCUUUGGCGAAGCUGUGCUUGCACAGCCUAGCCAAGGCGGACGGGUGAGUAACGCGUAAGGAACUUGCCCUGCAGUCAGGGAUAACAGACGGAAACGACUGAUAAGACCUGGUAAAGUCAGGCGGACUCAUGUCCAGCCUGAUGAAAAGAGAUGCUGCAGGAGAGCCUUGCGUCCUAUUAGCUUGUUGGUGGGGUAACGGCCCACCAAGGCGAUGAUAGGUAGCCGGCCUGAGAGGGUGGACGGCCACAAGGGGACUGAGAUACGGCCCUUACUCCUACGGGAGGCAGCAGUGGGGAAUAUUGGACAAUGGGGGCAACCCUGAUCCAGCAAUUCUGUGUGCACGAUGAAGGUUUUCGGAUUGUAAAGUGCUUUCAGCAGGGAAGAAAAAAUGACGGUACCUGCAGAAGAAGCGACGGCUAAAUACGU
rnacentral:rRNA from 1 species